rnacentral:lncRNA from 1 species
AGAGUUCCCACCUCUGCAGUAGAGGAAGACACUCCAGAAGGAGUUGAGAAUGGGUGCUGAGUGCCUCUUCAGGAUGUCUGUCACACCUCAGGAAACCUGCCAGGAAUACCAAAGGGAGUGAAAAAUCCAAGGAAUACUUGUCAUUGAAAUUAGGGCCCACCUGGCUAAUCCAUGAUGAUCUCAUCUCAAGAUCCUUAACUUAAUGACAUCUGCAGAGACUGGUUUAUCAAAUAAGGGACUGUGGCUAUAUCGCUGACCUCAAGAAAACCUGCGGACAAAAUCUGCUAAAGAAGUAUCAGCAUCUAUUUCAAAAGUUAGCCAUUAUUUUAAGAAGACUGUGCUGGAAGACGGGUAUUUAACACAAACAGAUGCAAAAGAUACGGGGUUUCACCGUGUUGACCAGACUGAUUUUGAACUCCUGGGCUCAAUCGGUCCACCUGCCUCGGCCUCCCAAAGUGCUGAGAUUAUAGGUGUGAGCCCCUGCGCCUGGCCAGGGAUGCCGUUCUUCACUCUCCAAUUGAGCAGCCAUUAUAUAUCAGGCACUAUAGGAGUUCCUGGAGGAUACUGGUCUGAAGUUAGCAUGAUCUUGACUCAAGAAACUUAUAGUCCUGAUAAGAACUUCCACCAGAAUUCCAGAUAAGGCAGCACAGGCCUUGCUGUUUGCCCAUGCCCAUGCGGUCAGCUCUCUUGGGUACCGUGGCAUGCAGAUGCAGACACUCACCCA